GGCUGCAACUCGCCUACACGAAGCUGGAAUCGCUAGUAAUCGCGGAUCAGCACGCCGCGGUGAAUACGUUCCCGGGCCUUGUACACACCGCCCGUCACACCAUGAGAGUCUGUAACACCCAAAGCCGGUGGGAUAACCUUUAUAGGAGUCAGCCGUCUAAGGUAGGACAGAUGAUUAGGGUGAAGUCGUAACAAGGUAGC
rnacentral:rRNA from 1 species